AUACUUUCUGAACACACUCAUGAUUCAUGAUCUUACUUUAGUGAUGGCGCUUCAUCUAGUGGAAGUGUAGCAGUGAUGAUGGUCACAUGACUGAAUAUGGACACAGAGAUGGACGUUCAUCUGCACAUCCUCAGUGUCUCAGGAGUCACAAUAAACACACUAAAUAAAGUCAUGAUUGUGUAACUCUAGUGUAUAUGAGUGUGUUGUCAGCACAAGCUGUUGUAAAUCCUGCCCACUUCUUUGCAUUGUCAGCACAUGCUUCAGUGCUCUGAGAGUGUUUAUAGUGCUGUGAGUUUAACACUUCAUGACUGAGAGCAGAACACACACACUCUUCAUCAUCACACAAGACUAAACUACAACUAUGAACAACAUCUGCAUCUUCAUCUGGACUCUGACUCUCUGCAUUCAGGAAGUCUGGGGACAAGUGACAGUGACUCAGAAUCCAGCAAUAAAAUCCGUCAAACAAGGAGAAACUGUUACAAUCAGCUGUAAAACCAGUCAGCCGAUCUCUGGCUGUAAUGACUGUGUGUCCUGGUAUCAGCAGAAACCUGGAGAAGCUCCUAAACUCCUGAUUUAUUGGAUAAGAAGCCGUUAUACUGGAACUCCAUCUAGAUUCAGUGGCAGUGGAUCUGACUAUGGCAGUGAUUUUACUCUGAGCAUCAGUGGAGUCCAGACUGAAGAUACAGGAGAUUAUUACUGUCUGAGUUAUCAUGUAAUCAACAGUCAGUGUGUUCACACAGUGAUAAAGAGUCGUACAAAAACCUCUGUCAGUCAGACGUCACAGUGACUGCACUGAUACAGCUGAGAGAAACUGCAGCUGCUGAUGGAGGAUCACACACUACACAAUAUCAAUGUCUAGUUCAAAGUUUCUAAAGACUUUAAAGGUACCUGUAAUAAAAGAUUUUCUUUAUACUAAAAUACAUUUACCCAGAUAAUUGUUCAUUGACUAUUACUGCCAUUCAUGUGUGUAUCUCUCUCAAAUGCAUGACGGUAAAAACCGCAUUCUGGUUGUCUAUCUACUGUAUUACAAAACAAAU